UUGAUCGAAUCGGUUUCCAUGCGGAGGUGUGCCGUUGAUGGGCGAUGUUGAAUUCCCAGACAACAAAGGAUGAAAUAACCAUGCGGUCGUCCACUCGAAACUUGUAUCACCAGGACACUACUCUGCCUGGUGCCGCCGUGAUCCAAUCACGACCUUUCGCGCCGUGUUUACCGCUUGCGAUGCUGCGUGCGAUUCUCUGUUUGUGCGUCGUGUGCCUGGCCAUCCGGGUGUCCACUUUCGGCCAUUUUUUUAUUUUUAUGAAUUGUAA